rnacentral:rRNA from 1 species
UACGUAGGGGGCUAGCGUUGUUCGGAAUUACUGGGCGUAAAGGGCGCGUAGGCGGGCUGGCAAGUCGGUUGUGAAAUCCCUCGGCUCAACCGAGGAACGUCGAUCGAUACUGCUGUUCUUGAGGAUUGCAGAGGAGACUGGAAUUCCCGGUGUAGCGGUGAAAUGUGUAGAGAUCGGGAGGAACACCGGUGGCGAAGGCGGGUCUCUGGGCAAUUCCUGACGCUGAGGCGCGAAAGCGUGGGGAGCAAACGGG